GACGAACGCUGGCGGCGUGCUUAACACAUGCAAGUCGAACGCAAAGGCUCUGCAUUUGUGGGGUGUUCGUGUGGCGAACGGGUGUGUAUCACGCGAGUAACCUGCGCUUUACUUCGGGAUAACUUCAUGAAACUCGGGCGCAUACCGGGUAUGAGCUCCUUCUACACGGUGUGUGUGGGAAAGUUUCGCCGUUUCAGCAUGGACUCGUGGUUCAUCGUCUUGUUGGUGGGGUAGUGGCGUACCAAGGCUUUGACGGGUUGCCGGACUGAGAGGGUGACCGGCCACAUUGGGACUGAGAUACGGCCCAGACUCCUACGUGAGGCAGCAGUGGGGAAUAUUGCACAAUGGGCGGAAGCAUGAUGCAGCAGCGCCGCGUGCGGGAUGACGGCCUGCGGGUUGGAAACCGCGUUCGACUGUGAAGAAGCGUGAGUGACGGUAAUGAGUAAAGAAGCACCGGCUAACUACGUG
rnacentral:rRNA from 1 species